AAUUAUCUCCCACAGGGUCCCUCCCACAACACAUGGGAAUUCAAGAUGAGAUUUGGGUGGGGACACAGCCAAACCCCACGAGGGCACAUACAAAGUUAGCCAUUCUUUGACAACCUGGCAGCAUGGCCAUUCAUGCAUUUUAGUCUUAGAACAGAGAUUGGAGCACCUGUUUUAGAGUGGGGUCAGGACCUCCACAAGCAGAACUGUGGGAAGUACCUCAGCAGUAGGCACUGGAAUUGCGCUCUUCCCAGUCAAAGGGUUGGGGCAGGAGGAGAGCUACUACCACUGCAGUUUCUCCUGGGCAGUAAGGCUUGCAGGCAGGGCCAGUUUGGCAACAUGAACUGAUCCUCGCAAGACACUGUUGGGUGCCUCAGCCUGUUCCCGAGAUCACAGUGCAGUGGAGUCCUCUCACUCCACCCAAGGGAGAAAUCCAGGCAUUCAGAGCACCCACUUGCCUGGGCCAGCAGCCUGAGCAGCCCCACUUUUCCUGGGCAUACAUUGUAGCACAGCAGGGCCCUCUCUGCUCCAUUCCCAGGAAGAUCUCCAAGCAUUUGGGGCACCCACUUUCCUGGACCAGCAGCCUGCACCACCUCACCCAUCAUAGACAUAGAUUGUGGUGCAGCAGAGCCCUCUCCACUCCAUAUCCAGGCAGAUCUCCAGGUAUUUGGAACACCCACUCACCUGAAUCAGUAGCCUGAACCACCCCACCCUAUCCUGGACAUAGACUGUGGUACAGCAAGACCCUCUCUGGUCCAUGCCCAGGCAGAUCUCCAGGUAUUCAGAGCACCUGCGCAUUUAGUUCAACAGCCUGAGCUGGCACCAUCCUUCCUGGAUGUAGAUCAUGGUAUGGUGAGAUCCUCUCCACUACACACCCAAGCAGAUCUGCAGACAUUCAGGGAACCAGCUUGCCUCGAUCAGCAGCUUAUGCUGCCCCACCACCUUUCCCAUGCAGAUAUCCUGGUGUAGGGGGACCCUUUCUGUUACAUGCCCAAGCAGAUCUCCAGACAUUCAAAGCACCUGCUUGUCUGGUUCAGGAGCCUGAGUAACCUCAUUCCUCUUGUGCAGAAAUCUUGGUUAAAGGGGGUCUUCUCCACUUCACAGAGGCAUAUCUCAGACAUUCAGAGAUCCCACUCACCUGAAUCAGCAGUCUGAGCCAUCCACCCUUCCUGUGCAGAGAUCCUGGGGCUGUGGGGGUUCUCCCUGUCACAUGCCCAGGCAGAUCUCCAGGCACUCAAAGCACCUGCAUGCUUGGUGAGGCAGCCUGAGUUGCCUCACUCCUCCUGUGCAGAGGCCUUGGUAUAGGUGGGUCCUCUCUGCUCCACGCCCAUGCAGACCUCCAGGCACCUGGAGCGCCAACUCUAUUAGAUUAAGAAUUUAGGCCACCCCGUUCCCCAUGCAGGGAACUUAGGGCUGAAGGGGAUUCCCAGCUCCAUGCCUAGGCAAACUUCUGGGUACCUGGUAGCUGCCCAUUGGAUUCACCCUCAGCACUGGUAUUUGUGCUUGCCAUGAGUGAACCUUUUGCAGAUUUGCCCAGUCCUUCUCACCAAUCAUGGCCCCAUCCUCCUGGAGCUAAGCAGGGAGCUCAGACCACCGCCUGAGGCAACAGAGAGUUUCUGCCAUUAAACAAGUAUAUACCCAGCAGCACUGGCUACAGCUGACUCUUAUAAGCACCAUCUACUGGCUUGUAGGUCAGAUGCACAGCCCAAUAUAAAACCUGCUGAAAGAAGUGCACAGAACUAUAGAAGCAAAACCAAAAGAAUCUACCCAGCAUUCUCUACAGUCACACCCCAACAGGGAGGAAAGAAAGGAAAAGAAAAAAACAAUUAUAGGCAAAGAAAAAAAUUCUACCCACAUGAAAAUAAUUACAAAAAUUAGAAGUGCAACCAUCUCCAGAUGAGGAGAAACCAGGGAAAGAAUUCUGGCACAAUGAAAACUCUAAAUGUAGUAAUACCACCAAAGGAUAGCAUUAGCUCUCCAGCAACAGUUCCUAACUAAAAUGUAAACUCAGAAAUGACAGAUGAAGAAUUCAAAACAUGAAUUGCAGGGAAGAUCAAUGAGAUCCAAGACAGAGUUGACAAUCAACAUAAAAGAAACUUCUAAAGCAAUUCAGAAAAUAAAAGAAGAAAUAAACAUAUUCAAAAGAAAUCAGAGCUUCUGGAACUGAAAAAUCCACUUAAGGAAUUUGAAAAUACAAUUGAAAGCUUUAGCAACAGAUGGGACCAAACAGAAAAAAAGAAUUUCAGGGCUUGAAAAAUAGUCUUUGAAUUAACCUGGUCAAACAAAAAAAAAAGAAUUUUAAAAAAUGAACAAAGUCGUUGAGAAAUACGGGAUUACAUAAAAGAAUCAAACCUAUGAAUUAUUGGCAUUCCUAAGAAGAAAAAGUAAAUAACCUGGAAAACAUAUUUGAGGGAAUAAUUCAAGAGAAUUUCCCUAACCUUGCUAGAAAAGUAAACAUCCAGAUA